GACGAACGCUGGCGGCGUGCUUAACACAUGCAGGUCGAACGGAAAGGCCCUGCUUUUGUGGGGUGCUCGAGUGGCGAACGGGUGAGUAACACGUGAGUAACCUGCCCUUGACUUUGGGAUAACUUCAGGAAACUGGGGCUAAUACCGGAUAGGAGCUCCUGCUGCAUGGUGGGGGUUGGAAAGUUUCGGCGGUUGGGGAUGGACUCGCGGCUUAUCAGCUUGUUGGUGGGGUAGUGGCUUACCAAGGCUUUGACGGGUAGCCGGCCUGAGAGGGUGACCGGCCACAUUGGGACUGAGAUACGGCCCAGACUCCUACGGGAGGCAGCAGUGGGGAAUAUUGCACAAUGGGCGGAAGCCUGAUGCAGCAACGCCGCGUGCGGGAUGACGGCCUUCGGAUUGUAAACCGCUUUCGCCUGUGACGAAGCGUGAGUGACGGUAAUGGGUAAAGAAGCACCGGCUAACUACGUG
rnacentral:rRNA from 1 species